AAGCAGAAGGGGAGAAAUGAAAAUUAUUGUCCAAAGCAGCGUCGGGUUGUUGACUGUAUCGUCUGUAGCUUGCUAGCACAGCUAUCUAGAGAUAGCUAACAAGAAUAGCUAGCAUUCUAUUAGCUAUUUGCUAACAAGAUAAAUUAGCUUGGCUUAGCUCGGGCAGUUAAUUUCUGCAGAUCAAGAAGAUUAGAUUUAGGUUUAGUGAAGCAGUAGAUUCGUGUGUUUUGGGCAAGUGGGUUCUCUGUAUCCAUAUCCUUGGUUACAUGGUCCCACCACACAAGGCACCGGCCUCGAGUUCUUCAUGGAGCCGACGAUGGCUAUGGAUUUGUUUUCCUAAGCGUAGGAAAAGUGACUUGAGACCAAGAGCUUAAGCCUAAGCUCUGCUUCUCCCUCGCCGUCAGUCCUCAACAUUAGCCCUGCGUUUUAUGUUCUCUGCAUCUACAUUGGCAUACAAAGGCACGCAUAUGAAUGUACAUUUGUGUCAAAGGGUUUUAAAUGGGGGGGAAGACCACCUUCACUCUUUUAUUGGUCU